ensembl:lncRNA PWRN1 Prader-Willi region non-protein coding RNA 1
GAAGUCUGUCAGCCUCUUCAGAUGUCACUUGCCCUGUGGUAAGGAAGUGUAGUUGGCAGCUGGUGCAGUGGCAAGAAGAGAAAGGAAGUUCCCCAAGACAGAAACAUCUCGGCAGAUGGAAUUCGCUGUUUCGCCCAGGCUGGAGUGAAGUGGCGCGAUGUGGGCUCACUGCAACCUCCGCCCCCAGGGUUCAAGGGAUUCUCCUGCCUCAGCCACCAUGAUUUAACACUGAGAAGUAGGCAGUCACAGAGAAAAAGUUUGGAAUAGUUCACCAGUGAAGUCAUCUCAACCAGCACAGGGCCUUGACUCCUAACAACAAUCACACGAACUUGGAAGAGGAUCCUUCCCCAGCUGAAACUUCACUUGAGACCUUCUCAUUGGCCAUCAUCGACAUCUGGAUUCAUGAUACAGAGAAACUUGAGUAAUGAUGACAAUAGCAGUCCAGCCUGCAUGGAUGCUGACAUGGAUGCUGUCUCCCAUUCUUACCACUGGAUGUCAAGAACUGCUAGAUGCGAUCCAGCCAGUCUGUACUCGACUCUCAGUUCCAUCUUCUCAACUCACAGUGUCUUCCAAAGUCCAUGCCACACCACAGCCUGGAAGAUCUCCCAAGGCUUUGAAUAACUCACCAGUGAAGUCAUCUUGACCUGGACAGAAAUUGAAUCCUCCCAAGAAUCCCAGGAGCUUGGAAGGGGAUCCUUCCCCAGAUGAGCCUUCCCUUGAAAUCUCUGCCAGGCAUCUGACCCAGAGAAACUGUCAGAGAGGUUAAUCCUAAGAACAGUUACAUAAGCUUGGAAGGAGACCUUUCCCCAGAUGGGCCAUAGCCUGGGCCAUCACCUACAUCUGGACUGAAGAACCAGAGAAACUACUCCAUCAGGAAUCGUUUGGGACCGUGGGUUCUGUUGACACUCACAUUGUGUAAUUAUGUUGCCCACUGCCAACCCUAAAGCCACCAAGGUAGCAGGUUUCAAAUAAUUCAUCAGUGAAUUCUCCUCAACCUGGUCAAUCAUGUGAACUUAGAAGAUGAUUCCUCCCCAGCUGAUCCUCAGGUGAGACCUCAGCCUUGGCCAUCAUCUAUAUCUGGAUUCCUGACCCAGAGAAACUGAAUACACUUUACUGAAUCAUGAAAAGCUGUAAAUAGCUGAAAAGAAAAAUGUGGUCUUGACUCUGAAAAACAACAAAAAGGAUCAGCAACAUUUCAAGCAACAAGUCAUAAAACGAUUACUGUGGUCUUGUAUUAGUUCAGUCCAUGCAGUGAACUUUGUCUGACAUUGGGCCUGCAGUCCUCAUAAACAUACCAGCUAUC